rfam:Populus trichocarpa scaffold_4_contig_189, whole genome shotgun sequence.
UCUAGAACUCGAGAUAUGGGCUGAACACUGAACAAUAUCUGGGCUGCAGGACAGAUUCCGACUUCUCCGUUGAUGCUAUGAUUUGGACUCUCAAACGGCAUAAUUGAGUCUUGGACUCUCAUAAAAGUUUUAGGCGUAUGUAUUAGCUUUCCAUC